UACGGAGGGUGCAAGCGUUAAUCGGAAUUACUGGGCGUAAAGCGCACGCAGGUGGCUGAGUCAGUCGAUUGUGAAAGCCCUGGGCUUAACCUGGGAAUUGCAGUCGAUACUACUCAGCUAGAGUAUGGGAGAGGGCAGUGGAAUUCCCGGUGUAGCGGUGAAAUGCGUAGAUAUCGGGAGGAACAUCAGUGGCGAAGGCGGCUGCCUGGCCCAAUACUGACACUCAGGUGCGACAGCGUGGGGAGCGAACGGG
rnacentral:rRNA from 1 species